rnacentral:rRNA from 1 species
GUGGGGAAUAUUGGACAAUGGGCGCAAGCCUGAUCCAGCCAUGCCGCGUGAGUGAUGAAGGUCUUAGGAUUGUAAAGCUCUUUCACCGGUGAAGAUAAUGACGGUAACCGGAGAAGAAGCCCCGGCUAACUUCGUGCCAGCAGCCGCGGUAAUACGAAGGGGGCUAGCGUUGUUCGGAAUUACUGGGCGUAAAGCGCACGUAGGCGGAUAUUUAAGUCAGGGGUGAAAUCCCAGAGCUCAACUCUGGAACUGCCUUUGAUACUGGGUAUCUUGAGUAUGGAAGAGGUGAGUGGAAUUCCGAGUGUAGAGGUGAAAUUCGUAGAUAUUCGGAGGAACACCAGUGGCGAAGGCGGCUCACUGGUCCAUUACUGACGCUGAGGUGCGAAAGCGUGGGGAGCAAACAGGAUUAGAUACCCCGGUAGUCC